rnacentral:rRNA from 1 species
AUUGAACGCUGGCGGCAUGCCUUACACAUGCAAGUCGAACGGCAGCACGGAGCUUGCUCUGGUGGCGAGUGGCGAACGGGUGAGUAAUAUAUCGGAACGUACCCAAGAGUGGGGGAUAACGUAGCGAAAGUUACGCUAAUACCGCAUACGAUCUAAGGAUGAAAGUGGGGGCUCGCAAGACCUCAUGCUCCUGGAGCGGCCGAUAUCUGAUUAGCUAGUUGGUGAGGUAAAGGCUCACCAAGGCAUCGGUCAGUAGCUGGUCUGAGAGGACGACCAGCCACACUGGAACUGAGACACGGUCCAGACUCCUACGGGAGGCAGCAGUGGGGAAUUUUGGACAAUGGGGGCAACCCUGAUCCAGCAAUGCCGCGUGAGUGAAGAAGGCCUUCGGGUUGUAAAGCUCUUUUGUCAGGGAAGAAACGGUGAAGGCUAAUAUCCUUUGCUAAUGACGGUACCUGAAGAAUAAGCACCGGCUAACUACGUGCCAGCAGCCGCAGUAA